rnacentral:rRNA from 1 species
CUUGUGAGUAAAGUGGCGUACGGGUGAGUAACACGUGGAUUAUCUACCUUCUAGUGGGGGAUAACCCUGGGAAACCGGGGCUAAUACCGCAUAAGCUCGAGAGAGGAAAGCAGCAAUGCGCUGGAAGAGGAGUCCGCGGCCGAUUAGCUAGUUGGUAGGGUAAAAGCCUACCAAGGCUACGAUCGGUAGCCGGCCUGAGAGGGCACACGGCCACACUGGCACUGAAACACGGGCCAG